rnacentral:rRNA from 1 species
ACCUGCCUUGUAGCGGGGGAUAACUAUUGGAAACGAUAGCUAAUACCGCAUAACAAUGGAUGACACAUGUCAUUUAUUUGAAAGGGGCAAUUGCUCCACUACAAGAUGGACCUGCGUUGUAUUAGCUAGUAGGUGAGGUAAUGGCUCACCUAGGCGACGAUACAUAGCCGACCUGAGAGGGUGAUCGGCCACACUGGGACUGAGACACGGCCCAGACUCCUACGGGAGGCAGCAGUCGGGAAUCUUCGGCAAUGGGGGCAACCCUGACCGAGCAACGCCGCGUGAGUAAAGAAGGUUUUCGGAUCGUAAAGCUCUGUUGUAAGUCAAGAACGGGUGUCAGAGUGGAAAGUUCACACUGUGACGGUCGCUUACCAGAAAGGGACGGCUAAAUACGUGCCAUCUGCCGCGGAAAUACGUAGGUCCCGAG